AUUGAACGCUGGCGGCAGGCCUAACACAUGCAAGUCGAACGAGUGGCGGAAGGGUGAGUAAUGUCUGGGAAACGGCCUGAUGGAGGGGGAUAACUACUGGAAACGGUAGCUAAUAACGCCUAGCAUCAGAUGUGCCCAUAUGGGAUGAGAGAGGUGGUGGGGUAACGGCUCACCAAGGCGACGAUCCCUAGCUGGUCUGAGAGGAUGACCAGUCACACUGGAACGGAGACACGGUCCAGACUCCUACGGGAGGCAGCAUUGGGGAAUAUUGUACAAUGGGCGAAAGCCUGAUGCAGCCAUGCCGCGUGUGUGAAGAAGGCCUUCGGGUUGUAAAGUACUUUCAGUGGGGAGGCGUUACCCGCAGAAGAAGCACCGGCUAACUCCGUGCCAGCAGCCGCGGUAAUUC
rnacentral:rRNA from 1 species